GCACUUUUCACUUAUUUUCACUGC
rnacentral:siRNA from 1 species